rnacentral:misc_RNA from 1 species
UUUAAUCAGAGAGAGAGAACUCAAUAAUUCAAUUUAAAGCCAGAAAUGUAUGUUGAAAAAAGGAAAAGAAUGAUACAAAAUUUAUAAGAGAAGUUUAUGAGUUGCAGUCACUUAAAUUGCUGGGAUAAAUUUCUCUGAGGGCAUAUCGACAUGCUUCUAUGCAGCAUGGCUACACCAAAGACUCCAAAUUCCUGGUUGCCAUUAGCAUGAGCAUAAAAUUUGACCAGUUGACGAUUGCCAUGAAAAGAUAGUAAAGUUACCUUGAAAAUUUGAGCUCAGAUACACUCUGCCCAGCAAAUGAGGUCCAAACAACAAUCUCCCAUACACAAAAGCAAGUGAUAAAUAUAUCUGAUAAAUAUAUCAGAGACUGCCAACUGGUUGAGAAGUAUUUCAUUCUCCUCAUUGUCAUUUAUAUUGCCUGUGCUAUCUUUCUCAUUCGACAGUUCACUAGACAGUCCAACAAGUGAUGCAUAAUUUUCAUCUUCAAGAUAUCCUGACUGCCUCAACCAACCCUCCAACACUCCUUUGCUUGACAUGUCAGCUUCUUCCUCACACAGCUUAAAGAAGGAAGAUACAAUUACAGGCUUCGGCUUCCAUCUCUUUGAUCCUUCAGCAAGAAAAGCUUCCUUAAAGCAAGACAAAACCUCAGAAAUUCUCUUCUCUCUUACAUGCCCAUCUGCAAGAAUCUCCCAUGUACUAGAAUUUGGCUUUCCUCCCGCUUCUGCCAUAUGGUCAAAGAUACUUUCAGCCUUGUCCAAAUUUCCCUCUUUAACAUACCAACCCAUGAGGAGAUUUCCUAUUCUAGGGUCAUAGGAUGUCCUAGUUGGUAGCCAUUCCUCGUAAAUCUUUUCUGCACCUUCAAUGUCACCCAUUCUAACCAAAGAUGAGAUAAUAGCAUGAUAUCCCAAAUUCGGAAUAUUGGGAAAAUUUGAUUUGUAAAUGUUCCACACACGAUAAAGCUCUUCUUUAUUGCCAACAUUACCAUACAGGCUUAAGAGAUAGUGAUAAGGUAUCCGAUCCCGACCUGUGAUUCUGCUCUCAACCCUCCUUAGGCAAUCUUCAGCUUUUUCUAACUGCCCCAUCUUUAUGUACAUUGUGGCCAUUGUGCUAAAUGUUGUCCAGUUGGGAUUAAUGGUUUUAUCCAGUUUCAUUUGCUCAAAUACCUGUUCCAUCCUUUCAACAGAUCCUUGGGAUCCACGAGAUGAUAACCAGAUAUUAUAGGAAUAUAUAUCAAGUCUAAUGUUUUUCUCCAUCAUUUCUGAAAUCAUCAUGUCAACUUUAUCAUAUUCCUUGAGGUUCAUGUAUAGAGUCAUCAUCACAUUGAAUGGAAGUGCAUGUGUGGCAAAACUUUUAUUUCUUAUGUUGUCAAUCAUGGAUUCUGCCUUUUCCCUCAUUCUAGCUCUCACAUAGGCAUUCAGCAAAGCCCCAUAUAUCCUCCUGUCCUUUACAGUUUCUGGAACUCUCAAAAAGAAAUCUUCAGCAGCAGAAACUCCACGCACUUUGGCAAUAAGGUCUAAUUGAAUUGCAGC